UACGAGGGGGGCGAGCGUUGUUCGGAAUUAUUGGGCGUAAAGGGUGCGUAGGCGGUCUGUCGCGUCGGAUGUGAAAACCCAGGGCUCAACCCUGGGCCUGCAUUCGAUACGGGCAGACUAGAGUACGGCAGGGGAGACUGGAAUUCCUGGUGUAGCGGUGAAAUGCGCAGAUAUCAGGAGGAACACCGGUGGCGAAGGCGGGUCUCUGGGCCGUAACUGACGCUGAGGAGCGAAAGCGUGGGGAGCGAACAGG
rnacentral:rRNA from 1 species